UACGUAGGGUGCGAGCGUUAAUCGGAAUUACUGGGCGUAAAGAGUGCGUAGGCGGAUGUUUAAGUUAGAUGUGAAAUACCCGGGCUUAACCUGGGAACAGCAUUUAAUACUGAAUGUCUAGAGUUUGUGAGAGGGUGGUAGAAUUCCAAGUGUAGCAGUGAAAUGCGUAGAGAUUUGGAGGAAUACCGAUGGCGAAGGCAGCCACCUGGCAUAAAACUGACGCUGAGGCACGAAAGCGUGGGUAGCAAACAGG
rnacentral:rRNA from 1 species